rnacentral:tRNA from 1 species
GCGACCCGGUGCGGUAUCGCUUCACACGCGAGAGGUCGCUGGUUCGAGCCCAGCCAUGCGCA